UACAGGGGGUGCAAACGUUGCUCGGAAUUAUUGGGCGUAAAGCGCGCGUAGGCGGCUACUUAAGUCGGAUGUGAAAGCCCUUGGCUCAACUGAGGAAGUGCACCCGAAACUGAGUGGCUAGAGUACGAAAGAGGGUCGCGGAAUUCCCGGUGUAGAGGUGAAAUUCGUAGAUAUCGGGAGGAACACCGGUGGCGAAGGCGGCGACCUGGGUCGAUACUGACGCUGAGGCACGAAAGCGUGGGGAGCAAACAGG
rnacentral:rRNA from 1 species